GUGCCAGCAUCUGCGGUUAAUCUGUUUUCUUUGCUUUUGUGUGGAUUAUGCGUAUUUAUUUAUGUGCAAUGUUAGGUUAAAUUUUUUUGUGACAGUGUGUGGUAAAUAGGUUUUGUUAUGAUAUAUAUGAUGACAGGGAUUAGAUACCCCAUUAAUGUAUUUUGUAAAGUUGUUCUAGUUUUGUAACUAAAAUGGUUUGGCAGUGAGCGAUUCUUAUUAGGGGAAUAUGCAUAGUGAAGGAUGGUCCACCUAUUAGUUUACUCUUUUUAUGUUGGUGUAUGUCUGGUUUGAUAUUAUUGUUGAAUAAUUUAAGUUUGUGUAGUUUUAGUUAAGCUAAGUCUAUGUGCUGCUUAUUGGAGUUUUUGUGUGUUACAUUAAUAAGGGUGUUAUUGUAAGAUGAUGUGAUUUAGGACUUAAUAG
rnacentral:rRNA from 1 species